AAAAGUGUUUAGUAAGCUAUAAAGUACUUCUGUUUUUCCAUUCAUUCAUUCAGUUCAUAUACUCGAAUGCCUGCUCUGUGCUUGCUGGGCACUAUGCAAGGCAUUCAGAAUGAGGGGAACAUGCCAGACAUGGUCCCUGCCUCAUGGAGCAUAUGGUUAUUUACUUGGUGUAGUCCAAAUAAAUAAGUAGUUUGAUUAGUCCAAACUAGGCAUAUUUCCAAAUGAGUGAGGGAAGAACCAGGCUAUCUGCUCACUACUUUCUGCCUUCCCAGCUGGCAGAGAUGGAGGAGGAGCUACGUUAUGCACCCCUGUCUUUCCGAAACCCCAUGAUGUCUAAGCUUCGAAACUACCGGAAGGACCUUGCUAAACUCCAUCGGGAGGUGAGAAGCACACCUUUGACAGCCACACCUGGAGGCCGAGGAGACAUGAAAUAUGGCAUAUAUGCUGUAGAGAAUGAGCAUAUGAAUCGGCUACAGUCUCAAAGGGCAAUGCUUCUGCAGGGCACUGAAAGCCUGAACCGGGCCACCCAAAGUAUUGAACGUUCUCAUCGGAUUGCCACAGAGACUGACCAGAU
rnacentral:lncRNA from 1 species